UUAAUCCUGAAAUGUUCGUGUUGCCCUAAUUUUGAACCUGCUAUGUUUGACAAGGGAGCCUGAAGUUUGGGUACGUAGCACAGGCCACAAGCUAAUUCCGACAUAGAGCUUUAAGCUCUGUGCAACGGCGGUGGAAGUGUGAAAUAUUCAACAGGGCACCCACCUGGCGAGGCCAGGUGUCAAAAUAGGCUAACGGCAUUUUGGGGCUAAA
rnacentral:other from 1 species